UAUUUUUUGAGCAAUAUUUUUAAUGAUGCGUAAUAGACGUACAGAGUUUCAGGGCUUCCAUCAACCAUUUUUAAGUGCACGGCUCAGUUGUGUUAAGUAUAGUCACACUGUUAUACAACCCAUCUCCAAAGCGUUUCCAUCACCAUUGAACAACAGUUCUCCAUUUUCCUCCCCCUGGACCCCGGCAACCGCCUUCUAGCUUCUGUUUCUAUGAGUUUGGUUACUCUAGAUACCUCAUGGAAGUGGGGUCAUUCAGUCGUUGUCUUCGUGUUGCAGAGCAAGCAUUUUUAAGUCCUGCUAUGUGUCCAUCACUGUGUAUGACUCCGAAAUAGAAAAGGAGGAUCGUUAAAAAUGGAUCUUUUUUUCACUACCACUGUGAUCAGCAAAACUGGGAAAAGGGCAGACCUUGGCUGUGGCCUCUCACAUUGCCCCAGUCCAUGGCAUGAGCGUCUCACCCAAACUUCUAUUCUGGCCCUAACUUUCCUCCCUGCCCCCAUCCAAUGCUGCCUGGACCAGCUGUCACACUGGACUCUGGGACAAAUUAAUUCACGUGAAACUGCUAAUGGCUGACACAGUAAUAAGUCAGAUUGUGUUUCAACAUAAAGAUUUAAAUCUCUUUUUAACAAAAAUAUAGAGAAGGGGGUCUCACUAUGUUGCUCAGGCUGGUCUCAAACUCCUGGGCUCAAGUGAUCCUCCUGCCUCAGUCUCCCAAGUAGCUAGAACUAUAGUUGUGUGCCACCAAGAACUAAAUCUCUAAAACUGGAACUUCAGAUGACAGCAGUAGCCUGGUAAGGGAGAGCCCGUUCACAGUAGUCCUUUAGGUGUCUGCACAAAGCAAAUGGGUUUCUCUCUGCCCAUCAUUGUAAGCCUGUGACCCUUGGGACAAAACACUUUGCCUCAUAGGUGCAUCCUAGGAAGAAUCCAUCCUACUAAAGUUGCCAUCAACUGGCAGAGCACUCAACUGGCAGUGGUGUGACCUGCUGUCUCCCUGCUCUGUGCUGGAGUGGAGCCUCUGUGAUCUGCCUCUGCCACAGGCAAAGUUCUCAGGGAAACUAGAGAAACUGGACUGACUUGGGGGAACCAUUUAUGACACCAGGUAAAAGACCAUGGAAUCCAGGCUCUUCAGGGCCAUCGCUGUAGGGGCCUACUUCCUGUCUUAGUUCAGGUUCUAGAAGCAGAGCCUAAGACAGGGAUUCCGGGGCAUGUGAUUUCUCCAGGGAGCGCCCUUCAGGAAAAACCUCCACGAGCAUUAGGGAAGGACGGGCCAAGCAAGGAUGGAUCUUGGGUAAAGCCGAGCUGUGACCUGAGGCCCAAGGGCCGCUGGGGCAUUUCCACAGGGCAGUCACACCGUCCUUCAGAGAAGGGGGCUGGCCUUUGUGCCUCCUCAACAGUUAGCCUCUGGCUGCAGUAGCAGGGCUAACCUCCCAGGUCACAGCAGCUUGGGACAAAGUCCCUGCCUGGUAAAAGAUCUGGCUGGUUCUUUCAGGGGAACGUAACAUCUGCAUGACUCAUGCGUGCAAACCACCCACACGCUAGGAAUCUGAAGUGGUUGCUCCUAGAAACAGAAAUAAACGACCAUCCAGUGAUGAAGAGUUUUCCCCAGCAAAGAGACAACUCCAGGGAAGAGCUUUCCAGUGUGAGUACAGAGAUUGUGGUUUAAGAACCUACAACGGCCGUGACACUGGGGGCAGAUCAGGAGUCUAUAAAUGACAUAUGACUAAGAAGCAGAGGGAUACCAGCUGCUUAUUGACAAAAUGGGUGGCUCCCAGUGAGGCGUGGAAGGACAGAACUGGCCCAGACCAGCUGGGAGGCCUUGGCACAUACAACAGAGCCUGCUGGGUCACAGCACAGCCAUUGUCAUCCUGUGAAACGUGAACCUGACCUUCUACCCAACAAGGAUCCUGAUGGACUGGCUAUCUACCUCCCCAGGAUAAAAGCAGUGAGG
rnacentral:lncRNA from 10 species